rnacentral:lncRNA from 1 species
CCGUGGUUCAUGAACACGACCCCUUUAAUUGGUUGUGUUUCGUCUAGCGGCAGCCAUGAUUGGGUGAAGAUUUUCCCAUAUGGUGUCUGGAAAUAGAGUUUAUUGUUGCGGACGUUUUGGGAUUUGUAGUAUUCUUCUUCGGGUGUUUCGCCCCAGUAGAAUGGGGGCGGGGGUGGGAGUGGUGGGAGUUCUACCAUGAUUGGGUGAAGAUUU